UACAUGAAGCCGGAAUCGCUAGUAAUCGCGGAUCAGAAUGCCGCGGUGAAUACGUUCCCGGGUCUUGUACACACCGCCCGUCACACCAUGGGAGCCGGUAAUGCCCGAAGUCUGUGGCCCAACCGAAAGGAAGGAGCAGCCGAAGGAAACAGGCCCGGUGACUGGGGUGAAGUCGUAACAAGGUAAC
rnacentral:rRNA from 1 species